CGUGCGCGCAGCCGCGGCGCGUCCGGCCCCCGCCACGGGCCCCGCGGACCUGCGCCGGCUUCUAAGUAUUUCUUGCUGUCACCAGACCCUCGGCAGCCGGCGGAAAGCAAAGGAAAAGUAAAGGAACUGUAGAGAAAUAACACAGACCUUUCCGCAUUCUGCCGCCUAAAACCGCCUCUCGAUGCCCGAGCGUUCUCUCGGGGUCACCGCCGGGCCCGUUUCUGAAGUUCCCACAGAAGUCUGAGAUGGUGGCCAGUAAUUUCUCCUUGAAGCCUAACACACCUUACCCAGUGACUAGAGAUAACUGUUGUGAACAGUUUAGUGUUGAAUCAAAGGACCUAGUGCUUCUUUCUUGAACAUGACAGAAAAAAAAAAAAAAAAAUUCCAAAGAACAUGGCCCAAAGGAAAACGGACCACAAAAUUUAAGGAGUCUCAGCUUGCUGGGUUAUGAGAUCCUUCUUUGGGGCGGCCCACUUAUGCCUUGGUCUUGACUUCUGCUAUCUGCGUUGGAAGAAAAGCCUAAGACAGGUAAUAUUUGCUUGUCACAUGGAAUCUAGGACUCAGUGGCAGUCGCCAGGCAAGUGACCGUUCCAUCCGCUGGAUAAGGCGUUAACAGGCUCUACCUAGGCGCCACACGUGUCCGUCCGGUUGCUGUCACAGUUAAGCCUCAGCCAACACGAACGUCUUUAGGUUAAAUGAACUUACCACAUCAUUAGUAUGUAGAGCCUUGGGGAACAGAACAGGCAUGCGUUAAGGAGGA